UACGAAGGGGGCUAGCGCUGCUCGGAAUUACUGGGCGUAAAGCGCACGUAGGCGGCUUCUUAAGUCGGUGGUGAAAUCCUGGAGCUCAACUCCAGAACUGCCUUCGAUACUGGGAAGCUUGAGUCCGGGAGAGGUGAGUGGAACUGCGAGUGUAGAGGUGAAAUUCGUAGAUAUUCGCAAGAACACCAGUGGCGAAGGCGGCUCACUGGCCCGGUACUGACGCUGAGGUGCGAAAGCGUGGGGAGCAAACAGG
rnacentral:rRNA from 1 species